rnacentral:rRNA from 1 species
GCUUAACACAUGCAAGUCGAGGGGCAGCAUGGUCUUAGCUUGCUAAGGCCGAUGGCGACCGGCGCACGGGUGAGUAACACGUAUCCAACCUGCCGUCUACUCUUGGACAGCCUUCUGAAAGGAAGAUUAAUACAAGAUGGCAUCAUGAGUCCGCAUGUUCACAUGAUUAAAGGUAUUCCGGUAGACGAUGGGGAUGCGUUCCAUUAGAUAGUAGGCGGGGUAACGGCCCACCUAGUCUUCGAUGGAUAGGGGUUCUGAGAGGAAGGUCCCCCACAUUGGAACUGAGACACGGUCCAAACUCCUACGGGAGGCAGCAGUGAGGAAUAUUGGUCAAUGGGCGAGAGCCUGAACCAGCCAAGUAGCGUGAAGGAUGACUGCCCUAUGGGUUGUAAACUUCUUUUAUAAAGGAAUAAAGUCGGGUAUGCAUACCCGUUUGCAUGUACUUUAUGAAUAAGGAUCGGCUAACUCCGUGCCAGCAGCCGCGGUAAUACGGAGGAUCCGAGCGUUAUCCGGAUUUAUUGGGUUUAAAGGGAGCGUAGAUGGAUGUUUAAGUCAGUUGUGAAAGUUUGCGGCUCAACCGUAAAAUUGCAGUUGAUACUGGAUAUCUUGAGUGCAGUUGAGGCAGGCGGAAUUCGUGGUGUAGCGGUGAAAUGCUUAGAUAUCACGAAGAACUCCGAUUGCGAAGGCAGCCUGCUAAGCUGCAACUGACAUUGAGGCUCGAAAGUGUGGGUAUCAAACAGGAUUAGAUACCCUGGUAGUCCACACGGUAAACGAUGAAUACUCGCUGUUUGCGAUAUACAGCAAGCGGCCAAGCGAAAGCGUUAAGUAUUCCACCUGGGGAGUACGCCGGCAACGGUGAAACUCAAAGGAAUUGACGGGGGCCCGCACAAGCGGAGGAACAUGUGGUUUAAUUCGAUGAUACGCGAGGAACCUUACCCGGGCUUAAAUUGCAGAUGAAUUACGGUGAAAGCCGUAAGCCGCGAGGCAUCUGUGAAGGUGCUGCAUGGUUGUCGUCAGCUCGUGCCGUGAGGUGUCGGCUUAAGUGCCAUAACGAGCGCAACCCUUGUUGUCAGUUACUAACAGGUUCCGCUGAGGACUCUGACAAGACUGCCAUCGUAAGAUGUGAGGAAGGUGGGGAUGACGUCAAAUCAGCACGGCCCUUACGUCCGGGGCUACACACGUGUUACAAUGGGGGGGUACAGAGGGCCGCUACCACGCGAGUGGAUGCCAAUCCCAAAAACCUCUCUCAGUUCGGACUGGAGUCUGCAACCCGACUCCACGAAGCUGGAUUCGCUAGUAAUCGCGCAUCAGCCACGGCGCGGUGAAUACGUUCCCGGGCCUUGUACACACCGCCCGUCAAGCCAUGGGAGCCGGGGGUACCUGAAGUGCGUAACCGCGAGGAGCGCCCUAGGGUAAAACUGGUGACUGGGGCUAAGUCAUAA